rnacentral:tRNA from 1 species
GCAUUCGUGGUGUAACGGUUAGCACACUCGGCGCAUAUUCUAGAGGUCCAGGUUCGAGUCCUGGUAAGUACA